rnacentral:tRNA from 1 species
GAGGGUAAAGCUCAGUGGUAGAGUGAACACUUAGCAUGCAUGAAGUCCUGGGUUCAAUCCCCAGUACCUCCA